ACGGCGUCCUCCUCCUCCCGAACUUCAUCUCCUUCGUCUCUCCGUACAAAUCGCAGACGGAAACUACUCUGCCGCCGCAUCCCCCUCUUCCUUCACCGGUGGUCUCUCAUAAACGAGGAAAUGAUCACACCGUCGCAUCAAUGGCUGCCGAGGAGCCUUCAUCCGCUGCUUCCUGUCCUCUGAGCUUGCCUCCGUGAUCUGUCCCUCGCUCGCGUACGCGAACAAGAUUCACUUCAGUUCAGGCUACAACGUGCUGGUUCUGGUCGAUGAGAACGAACCCAAGGAGAGGCUGCUGAAUCGGUUCAGGAGGGAGGUGAUCAGAGCUGGAGUUAUUCAGGAGUGCAAGCGGAGGCUGCCAAGCGCAAUCAUAAAAGGCGUCCUAAGUUGAGGUUUUCUCAGAAGAUAAAGGAAGAAGUUACCAAAAGUGAGAAAGAAGAUGAAGAGGAGGAUAACUGGGACAUGCCUGAUGGAAAGAUGCACCUUACUGGCCAUGAUUUUCGCAGUGCUCUAAUUCUGGGCUCUUUCAAGUUCUGAUUUUUUUGAACUUUUACAUAUGCUUCCUGUAUUUUGUCUUCUAGAAGCUAUAGAGUGAAAGUUCCUUUGCAUUUGCUUGGACUUCUCCAUAAUGGAGAUAAACCCCAGCAGUUUGCAUGAACUGUGCAUAGGUUGCUCCAAUCUUGUGUCUUCGGUUGACAAAAACUCAUGAAGUAAGCAUCAUCCAGAUGCAGGGGACAAUACCCUCUCUACAUUCAGGGUUUUAAACAACUGUAUGGAAACAUCGUUCGAUUUCACAUGGAAGAAUCCUCCAUGGUCCUCUGCAGCUGCUCCUGGAGUGGAACUGCAUGCAGCUGUGAAUUCAUUCUGAGGGCUCAAAUACACUUUGGGAUUCCUUAACCACAUCACGUCUGCUUCCUGCAGCCAAGCCAAAUCACAUACGUUUCAGAAAGCAGCAAGGACAGAAAGGAUAAUGUUGCAAUGGUUAUGAGAUUGUGCAAGAGAACUCACGGUGAAAAUCAGGUUGUACCCGAGUUCUAGAAUCUCUUUCAACAGCGCCUUUUUCCUCCAAGUGGCAGCCAUUCCAUCGGGGUUUGUUGAAGUUUCCUCUGCUGUAGACGUUCUUCGAGAAUUUCUAAGAUGGAAACAGUGGGGAUGUACAGUUUCACAAUAUCGAAGAGCUUCAUCAUCUAGAGCCACAACAAUCACAUGAUCCAAGAAGUGUCUGGUCCUCUCCCCAAUCCUAAAACUCUCUAGGAACAGAUCAAGCAGAGACCCGGGUUUCGCCCAUUCUCGGUCCACCAUGGUAACUAUGACAGUCCUGUCUUCCAUUCUCGAUCUUGUAAGCAAUCUCGAUAGGCCAGAAGGAUCCUAUGACCAGGAAAACUAGUCUUUAUCAGUGAUAACAGAGGCCGAGUAUGGGCAAACACAGUUUCUCUGAUCCUGCUUGAAUCCGAAGGACAUGGUGAUGGGUUAGACAACAACCAGAGAAUCGCCAGGAGAAGGCUGCCUAUGACGAGGUACGGCAACUUUACCAUUCUCACAACAUUCACCAUCUUUGCUCUUCUGAAUCCAAGAACAUGGUCUGUAGGAAUAGGAAUCUUGAAUUGCUAAUGAAAAAAAUCCCCCCAGAUAGUUUUUCAUUUCAAGAUCCGAUAAAUAAGGUAACCCAUCUCGCGCGUUUUCUAUCGUUGGUAAUUUCUUGGAUUCUCUCAAUUGUGCCAAUUUCUUACCCCCAAUAGCGUUUUCGUAGCAAUCACGGACAGUAAUUUCCAGUUCUUGGAUCUAAUGUUACUCAUAUCCCUUCACUAUCCAAGUUAAAUCAAGAACAAAAAAAAAUAUUAAGCCGCCAAUAAAACUUAUUUCCUUUUCGAUUUGAUUGGAUUUUGUGAGUUUUCAAAGCCAGAACAGAGUUUUUGAUUAUUUCCAAUUCAGUUCGCUUCAAAUUUAAGCAUUUACAAAUCACACAAAAAAAAAUGGUAUAUAUUGCAUUCUACAGAUUUUUUUCUUUAUUUUUAUUUUUAUUUUUAUGUAUUUUCGACGGGAGUUCCCAAAUCUUACGGUCCAAUAUGUCUCUCUGAUUCGGGUCACUGUAGAUGUGAUGUAAAUACCCGUCGCUUUCAUAAUUUUUGUAUACAAUGAUAUUUUAUAUAUAAUUUGAUUGAUUGUGGAAUCUUGUAACAAAUCA